GAAAAAAACCUAAAACGGGAAGUUACAAGAAAAUUUGUAAUGGGAGCUGCUGACAGAGAUACAGGAAACACAGAGCUGGAGCGGAUCUCCUGUCGAAGAACAUCUCCAAGGCACUAUGAACCAUCUGACUAGGCAGUUCGUGAAGACAGAUAACCUGGACAGAAGUCAGUUCCAGAUCCAGCCUCCACACCAGACUUCUCAC